GGUCCGGCCGGGCCUUUCCCUCUGUGGAACCCCAUGCCCUUCACUGGGUGUGGCGGGGAAACAGGACUUUUACUUUGAAAAAAUUAGAGUGCUCCAGGCAGGCCUAUGCUCGAAUACAUUAGCAUGGAAUAAUAGAAUAGGACGUGUGGUUCUAUUUUGUUGGUUUCUAGGACCGCCGUAAUGAUUAAUAGGGACAGUCGGGGGCAUCAGUAUUCAAUUGUCAGAGGUGAAAUUCUUGGAUUUAUUGAAGACUAACUACUGCGAAAGCAUUUGCCAAGGAUGUUUUCAUUAAUCAGGAACGAAAGUUAGGGGAUCGAAGACGAUCAGAUACCGUCGUAGUCUUAACCAUAAACUAUGCCGACUAGGGAUCGGACGAUGUUAUUUUUUGACUCGUUCGGCACCUUACGAGAAAUCAAAGUGCUUGGGCUCCAGGGGGAGUAUGGUCGCAAGGCUGAAACUUAAAGAAAUUGACGGAAGGGCACCACCAGGGGUGGAGCCUGCGGCUUAAUU
rnacentral:rRNA from 1 species